AGAGUUUGAUCCUGGCUCAGGACGAACGCUGGCGGCGUGCCUAACACAUGCAAGUCGAGCGGAGACAGUGAGUAGCUUGCUAUGAGCUGUUUUAGCGGCGGACGGGUGAGUAACGCGUGAGCAACCUUUCCCAGACAGGGGAAUAACACACCGAAAGGUGUACUAAUACCGCAUAAGACCACGGGAUCACAUGGUUCUGGGGUAAAAGAAUUAUCGGUUUGGGGUGGGCUCGCGUCCGAUUAGGUAGUUGGUGAGGUAACGGCCCACCAAGCCGACGAUCGGUAGCCGACCUGAGAGGGUGAUCGGCCACAUUGGGACUGAGACACGGCCCAAACUCCUACGGGAGGCAGCAGUGGGGAAUAUUGCACAAUGGGGGAAACCCUGAUGCAGCGACGCCGCGUGAGCGAAGAAGUAUUUCGGUAUGUAAAGCUCUAUCAGCAGGGAAGAAAAUGACGGUACCUGACUAAGAAGCCCCGGCUAACUACGUGCCAGCAGCCGCGGUAAUACGUAGGGGGCAAGCGUUAUCCGGAUUUACUGGGUGUAAAGGGAGCGCAGGCGGUGCGGCAAGUCUGAUGUGAAAGCCCGGGGCUCAACCCCGGUACUGCAUUGGAAACUGUCGGACUAGAGUGUCGGAGGGGUAAGUGGAAUUCCUAGUGUAGCGGUGAAAUGCGUAGAUAUUAGGAGGAACACCAGUGGCGAAGGCGGAUUGCUGGACAGCAACUGACGGUGAGGCGCGAAAGUGUGGGGAGCAAACAGGAUUAGAUACCCUGGUAGUCCACACUGUAAACGAUGAAUGCUAGGUGUAGGGGGUAUCGACCCCUUCUGUGCCGCAGUCAACACAAUAAGCAUUCCGCCUGGGGAGUACGGCCGCAAGGUUGAAACUCAAAGGAAUUGACGGGGGCCCGCACAAGCAGUGGAUUAUGUGGUUUAAUUCGAAGCAACGCGAAGAACCUUACCAGGGCUUGACA
rnacentral:rRNA from 1 species